rnacentral:rRNA from 1 species
GAUGAACGCUGGCGGCGUGCCUAAUACAUGCAAGUCGAGCGAACAGACGAGGAGCUUGCUCCUCUGACGUUAGCGGCGGACGGGUGAGUAACACGUGGAUAACCUACCUAUAAGACUGGGAUAACUUCGGGAAACCGGAGCUAAUACCGGAUAAUAUAUUGAACCGCAUGGUUCAAUAGUGAAAGACGGUUUUGCUGUCACUUAUAGAUGGAUCCGCGCCGCAUUAGCUAGUUGGUAAGGUAACGGCUUACCAAGGCGACGAUGCGUAGCCGACCUGAGAGGGUGAUCGGCCACACUGGAACUGAGACACGGUCCAGACUCCUACGGGAGGCAGCAGUAGGGAAUCUUCCGAAAUGGGCGAAAGCCUGACGGAGAAACGCCGCGUGAGUGAUGAAGGUCUUCGGAUCGUAAACCUCUGUUAUUAGGGAAGAACAAAUGUGUAAGUAACUAUGCACGUCUUGACGGUACCUAAUCAGAAAGCCACGGCUAACUACGUG